GGAGUCACAGUUGGUGUGAGGUAGCUGAGACAGUUGGUAACUGGCCUGCUAUAAUUGAGGUUGAGAUUUCACUCCAGGACUCCAGUGGCAGAGACAGUGCUCUGAGGCAGCCUGUGAGACCAUGAUUGGAGAAGAGGCCCCUGUCUACUCCCCAAUACUCAGGCUUCCUCCAGUGGCUGGAAUUUACCUACUAGCUCUACGCUCUGUCAGCUUACAGCAGCACCAGCCAUGAUGUCAUGGUCAAACUGGUGAAGCACGGCACCCUAUCCCAGCUCCUGACUUUGUAUUUAAACAUGUCCUGGAUCCUUGACCACCAGCAGCAGAUGGUGCAACAAACUUCCUGAAAGUGUUUCCACUGAGCCUUGAGAGGUGAACAUGCCUGUCAUCCUGACAGAACAACUUGAGGAAGGGCCAUCCAUAUUCCCGCUCCCUAACCAGGACACUGCUAAGGUGAAUAUGAGGAGUAUUCCAUCUCUGACCCCUUUUCCCUGAAGGGCUUCACUGCCCUGAUGUCGGCACACCUGUGUAUGCCUUCCUGUGACGUCACUGAUGCAGACCAAAUGGAGAGAGCAGCAUGGCCGAUGCCUGCCCUGUGGGCUACACUGAUAGUCUAAGGGCUGUCAUGGCAGUGAGUUGAAGACUAACUAAGCAGGCAUGAGACAAAGGAGAGGAGAAAGUUGUAUUUCCUGAAGGGGUGAGGAGCGCAUUGGCAUCCUAUUUGUAAGGUGGCCACAUCCUGCUCCAACAAGGAAAGCAUGGGGCCUUCACUCCAGGAGCCAGAAAUUAUGGGUAGAAAAGUGGGUUGUUUCUGAGCAUGCUCCAUGGAGGAAGACCCUCAUGUCCCGAGUGUGCUCAGUACAGGAGUUCACUAAACUCAGCAUGCUUAAGGAAGAGUUUACCACUCUCCUGGGCAUGCUUAAAUGACAGAGGAGAGAAGAUUACCUUUCAGCAGAUUCCAAGGUGCCUGCCUCCCAGUGUGGCAAAGGAUACCAAACUGUGGCUGAGAACACCACAGUGGACACUGAGACUUGCUGCCAGCUCUUGGGCACAUUAGUUCACCACAAACGUAGACAAGUCCCUGAGCAGAGGACAACGGCUUUUCUUAUAGCUUGUCCUGUGUCCUCACCAACUCAGAAAUAGUCUGUCCAUGGAGCCAUGUCAUCCUGAGUAGCCUUUCUGUUACUCUCUAUAGAUGGUCUGAGAGCUUCACCUGGUCACCCCAGGGGCAAUCUCACCGCUGGUCUACCUGCCAUUUGCUGCAGACUGAGGUGCUGCCCUGACGAGAGUUUUUCCCUCCCCUAUCUGUACCUAGAGUUUGAAUGUUUGCUACUCUUCCACACUUCUCCACCCUUUUUCUUCCACUCUCUCAAUCAAUUAAGUAAAUAGGAGAGAAAAUUGGGAAAGGGGUUGUAUUGUUAGACUACUUCCUGUUGAUUAGGGAGAUUGAAUUCCUUGGGCAAAGUUUGAUCUUUGCCAUCAGGAUAUCCAAUUUCUUCUUUCUUCUGUGCACACAAAUAAUUACCUCAAACACCAACCACUCAUAACAAACAACCGACAACCACCAACCCCCCCACCCCUCCUAAGGCCCUGUCCUUUCUGUGCCCUCUGAGAAGCCCUCAGAAUUCUGAGUCACAGAAACAUGGAAACUGUCUGUUGCUCCCAAAAUCACGCACCUGCUGGAGCAUGAGGGAAAUCAUAGUCAGCUGAUGUGAAAAAUCUGAAAUAGUGCCCUACUCCCUACCUGUGGUUAAAAUAAAA
rnacentral:lncRNA from 1 species